UUCUCGUGCCUCAGUCCUCGGCCGCCCUCUCCUUUUCCCGUCUUCUCUCAUGACGGAGACGAGCUCCACCUCAGGCCGGUUGCGGCACCACACCACGGGAGCCAGUACCUGAUUUUUCCUACAUAGCAUCUGGAGUCCUUGGGAGUGCUGCUGCCAGAUCCAACCUCGCCCGAGCACCCGGUCAGAGUUUAUACGCCCGGAUUUAAUUUACAGGUGUAAAUAACCAGCUGCAGUGUAUUUUCCGUCUGGAAUAGAAACGAGGGAUGGAGGUCUGUAUCGAUUACGGAGGUAUUUGGGAGGCAACCGACAAUCCAAGCGGGGCCUUAUAUGUGGAUGGCAACAGAAGAUGAUCAAUAACUUUCAAGAAAUCUGAACCUGAAGUUGUCAAAGUUGAGUGCAAUCUUAUUUUCGUUUUCUUUUGUAGUUUAGGACUAAAAAUGACUAGGAGGCAACUGAAUGUGCUUACAUUUUCAGAGCAGCCGUUGUCAGGUCUUAUCAUCUUAUCAUGGAGUCAAUCGACAGUGAGCACUUAGGUGGCAUCAGACAAGAGGUUGUUCGUCUUAUCAUAAAGUGCCACAAGAAUUACAACCCAACAGAAACUGAAUUUGUUUCCCAUUUACCCAAAUUGAAAUGAUACUGCAGCAGCUUCUCCGAGAGCUCUCGGAUCGACAGGUGAAGGUACAAGAUGGUGUCCAUUCAACAAGGGGUGGUAGUUCGAUCCAUGGCGCCACUGCACAUUCAGCUCUAUCUCCAUCCGUCUUGGCUGGCGAUCAUCCCUUCUUCCUAGCCGCCAGCCUCCGUGAUAAUUUUAGAUUGUUGGAUUGUGAAGCGAGAUUCUAGCCAUCAGCGGAGAGGUGAUUUAUUUGGGAUAAAAGGAUCUCCCAGUCUUUCAAGUAAGCUAUCUUAUUUUGUUUGAGAUGUGAUCUCCCUAUCAUUCAAAUAAGCUAUCUUAUUUUUGUCCUUCUAUGUUUUGCCUAUCUAUCUUAUUUCUUCACGUUACAGUACUAACGCCUAAUUGCGCCUAAUUUCGCCUAAUCACGCCUAAGCUAGAAAAGCGCAAGUAGGUGCCCAAACGCAUAAUUAGCGCCUAGCGCUUUUUUGAACUUUGCCCUUGCUAUGUAAUCUGCAUUCUCUGGAUACUCCUACUUGAUUACGACAUGAGCAUAACUUAGGUUUGGCUUGGCACUUGUGAAACAUUUUCUACAUAUCUUUGACUUUCUCAAGUGUAAGAAAUAAUGUUUGAUGCUACUUCUAGAGUUUGCACCUUUCGGAAAUCGAUCUCGACUGAACAAAAUCUCAGUCCACGUAAAAUUAGCAAAACUUUACUUCUAUGUGGAAAUUAGUAUAAUGAUCAUUGAACUGAGGUAUAUGCAUACAUCUUAUAAUGAAAUGUACGCUUAGAAUUAAGAUUCGGCAAUUGUGGACUUGCCAUGAAGUAGUGUACUACGCGAAACCAUAGUUUUCCAUCCAGCUGCUUGGCUUUUGUUCAUCCUUACAAUGAUGUUUGUUCCCGUUUCCUGCAAAAUCAUGUUUCAGAUUACUGUCAAUCUGCCAUUCCUCCAAUCAGUGAAGGCCAGCUGCUGCUCCUGAUCAUGGCUUAACUUUCAUACGUGUUUUGAACUAUAUUCAUACUCCAUGUGCUUUGGAGUAUAUUCAUAGUUCAGUAGCGAGUAUAAAUCAACUCGAUGUGCAGAUGGACAUAUACAAUUAUAAAAGAAAAUGGACCUUCCAGCUCAGUAUUUUUCUCUUUUGUGUUAUUACUUGCUACUGGUUGGAGUAUCUUGUAUUUCGUAAGGAAAGGGAAAACUUCUAUGACGUAACUUGUUUUAGUCCAUUUUAUAUCUAUAGUUUUAUGCUUGCUUUCAUUUCCAUUUAUUUACAAGCUUACUGAUUAUUGUAUCGUUGAAAAGUAUGGGCAAGGCAACAUGGUCCAUCAUGGUGGAAGCCUUGCCAUUCUCUCCACGACAUACUGAUGUUAUGCAAGUUUCCAAUUUGAGAAACACCUUAUUCUAUUUUUUAAUUGGAGGUAAUGGAAGAAAUUAUGCCAUAUAUGCAAUAUUUAAUUGUAUGACCUUGAUGUAUGAAGUGCGAACUUGCUUACAAUCUGAGUGUUGUCCAUCCAA